AUGCACUGUGGUCAGCCACCAGCUCUGCCCUCUGGUGACCCCUGCCCAGCCCCCAAACCCUCACACAGGCUUUCCCUGGCAUGGCCCAGGCUCAGGGAAAGCCCGCUGCCCCAGCAACAGUCCCGGACUUGGGGCCUGGCGCAGGCGGCGGGGCCUUACCUUGAUGGCGUUGAUGUACUGUUUCGCAAACCUCUGGCACUCCUCGACCUUCUCGCCAUGGCGCUCGAUCUCCUCCAGAAGGGCCUGGGGGACGGUGCGGUUAGAGCAGCGGCCGCAGGGCACGCCCAGCCCGUCCCCACCGACCCAGGCCCACCUUCUCCUGCCGCAGCUGCUCCCGCACAGCCUGGCUGUUGGCCAGAGGCACGGCCUGAAUCUGCUCCUGCCGCUGCCUGGCAUCCUGCAGCCAGGCGCCCAGGGGGUCUGCGCUCUCGCGGUAGUAACGCAGCUGGCGGCCCAGUUGCUCGAGCUCACGCUGCCGCACAUCGGUCUGGACCAACACAGCCUGCCAGCUCAAGCAGCUGGGCGACCCGCUCCCGCCAGCUCCUCCACGUCCCGCUCCCGUGCCGCUGCUGCAGUCUCUCCCCCACCUCCUGCGCCCCCCGCAGCUCAUCCCGCAGGGCGUCGAACACGGGCUGCUGUGCCUCAGCCUGGGACCGCAGCUUCUGUUGGGGACAGGAGGGGCGUGUGCAGUUUCAGCUGGGCCCGCUGUACCCCCACCCCACUGUGAGGUCCAAGCCCGGAAACAGUACCUUCAGAGAGGCCUUGGUGGCCUCGAGCUCCGGGAGGGUGGCCGGCACGGCCUGGGCCUCUUUGAGUUGCUCCUCGUGGGCCCUGAGCACCUCCUCGGCUCCCUGCGUGCUGUGGAUCACCAGGCUGAUGGUCUUGAGCCUGGUGGGAAAGCACGGCUCAGGGCCAGGACAUGGGGCUCGAGCAACAGCCCAAGGGGAUGGAACCCGAGCCACAGCGACCCAAGGUGCUGCCUGCCAAGCCCAGACCCAACCCUGGGGGUUGGCUGACCCUGUGGUCACAGGCUUGCUUCAGGGAGAACAGACUUGGGGAGAAGGAAGCUGGGAGCCUCUGCAACACAAGGACACUCAGGCCCCAGCCUGA
rnacentral:lncRNA from 1 species